CAAUAGCGUAUAUUAAAGCUGUUGCGGUUAAAAAGCUCGUAGUUGGAUUUCUGUCAAGGACAACUGGUCCGCCCUCCGGGUGAGCACAUAGUUUGGUCUUGACAUCUUGCUGGAAGCUGUUGCUGCACUUGGCUGUGUGGCGCAGUGUUCAGCACUUUCACUUUGAGGAAAUUGGAGUGUUUCAAGCAGGCACAUGCCUUUGGACACAGUAGCAUGGAAUAAUUAGAUUGGGCUUUUGCUCCAAUUUGUCGGUUUCUGGGGCUGAGGUGAGUAUUAAUGGGGAUUGUUGGGGGCAUCCGAAUUUAGCCGUCAGAGGUGAAAUUCUUGGAUCUGCUAAAGACGGACAACUGCGAAAGCGUUUGCCCAGGAUGUUUUCAUUGA
rnacentral:rRNA from 1 species